UGUGUGAGUGCCAUUGGCAGAGAGGAAACCUUCCCAAGAACAGAGAACUUGACCUAUAACUGACAUGGUUUUUGCUUCCUUUCAGAUGUUUUCUUAGAAAUGAAUCACCUCAGGUGGCGCCUGUGGCUCAAAGGAGUAGGGCACCGGCCCCAUAUACCAGAGGUGGCGGGUUCAAAACCCGGCCCCAGCCAAAAACUGCAAAAGAAAUGAAUCACCUCACAGUCUUCUUAGAAAGGCAAGCAAGGCUGAGGAUGCCCCACCACAGGCCCGGUCCAGCAGAGCAGGAGAGGAAGAGUCACAGCUGCAGGCUCUCUGCACAAGGACCUCAGGGAUCCAGGAAUGAUUUCAGCUGUGAGAAUUUCUCCAGAAAACCUGCUUUCUCUAUUUGAGUGAGGAAAAAAAGAGAGCAAACGCAAGAAUUUCUCCCGUGUAGCACUGACUUCCUCUGUGGCCCCAGAGAAGCCAUUUGAACUCUCUUCUUUGGUUCCCCCAGCUGUGAAACGGAGCUAAGAACGACUAAUGUAUUCCACAAGGAGCAAAAAAGGCUUUAGGCAGAUGAAAGACAUUGUCCUCAUCUGUCUGAAAGAUCCAGUGGCACAGGGUGGAGAAUGGCCUGGAAAGGAGCCCCAGGGGAAACACAGACCUCAGUGAGAGGCUCAGGGAACAGAUAAGAUGGCUGGACUAAGGCUGAAGGCCUUUUACGAGGGAUCUCUCAGCAGCAGCCCUUUUCAGAAGUAUCAUAGGAACCAUCAGGGCACCGGUGCCAGAGAGCCCUGGCCAGCUGGGACCUGCCUUCUGGGACCUGCCUGCCCUCUGUACAUUGGAAAGAGGCCUGAUUAGACCUACCUUGUGGAGGUUCCACUGAGAACUGACGAACCACCCAGCAGAGCAGCUGUGUCAGUGACUUAGUUUGGAAGGACACGGGAGCUUCUGAGACAUCCGGGAUUCAGGGAGCAGCCCAGCGGUGUGCUGAGGGCUCCUCUCUGCUCCUCCUGUCUGGGUGCUUGGGGUGCAGAUGAGAGGCUCUGUCUAUCUGUCAUUUUCCUCCCAGGGCAGGUUUCCUCCAACCCCGCAAUCUGGGCUUGGCCAUGCAACCUUCUCAAAUGUUGCUGCUUAAUAUCCCCCAGGAUGGAUGUUUAACCCAGGACCAAGUGAGCCACAAGACAGGUUAACAUCCCACAGUAACACAACAGUGAUCAGAUGGACUGAGAAGGGGAGACGGGACUAACGGGACACAGAGGUGCGGCCCCAAGGAUGGUGAAGGGAUGGGGGACGUGGGGCCCUGGGAAGGCUGACGAGUGAGGCAAAGGCCCAGCCUGGAUGUAUGAGGUGGGGGCAGAUCGUGAAGUCAGGCUCUGAGGCUGAAACAAGAACCUGACUGUUGUAAACUGGGCUUUUGCUCAUCCAUCCGAGGCAUUUUCUCAAGGGCCAUACUGGGCCUUGGCAUGAGAGUGGGACAGAGGCCUGUGAGAACUGAGUGUUCCAGAGAGCCAGGCAGAGGGUCUCUUCUGAGGCUGUUUCCCAUCGAUUUCACCAGGGUGGCAGAUCAUGGAGGCUCAGCCCAGAUGAGGUGCAGACCUCUGCUGCUGUGUUUUGACUCCCUGGUCACUUCUACCUGCCUUCUACACUUCAAAAGUGAUUUUGAUUCAUCUUCUUUUCCCUUUUUAUGCCAGACUCCCUUGAUCUGAAGUGUAAUUGCUCAAGAAUGAUCUUACUUAACUCUUAAGGCAGUGGUUCUCAACCUUCCUGAUGCCAUGGCCCUCUAACACAGUUCCUGUGGGUUGUUGAGAACCCCUGCUCUAAGGAUUAGUCUUGUUCAGUAAAGCCUUCCCUAUGAACCAUACUCAACUUGCAGAGCAGCACAUCCGUCCACCCCUCCUGCUGUCUCAUCUGCGGUUGGGCUGUUGCUUCUGUUUUUUUUUUUUUUCAAGGACGUUUUGCUAUGUUUCCCAGGCUGGACCAAGUCCAGCCUGAGCCUCUCAGUAGCUGGGCUGGCGGGUGUGCACCACCACUCUGGGCUGGGGCUUCUCACUGCUUCACUUCUCUGUGGUUGUUACAGUUUGAGUUGGCAUCAUAAGCCCCCCCGGCUGAAUGUAAUUCAUUCUUUAGUUUUGUUUUUAUUUCUGCCCAUAUUCCUAAACCACUUACCAUUUCUGAAUUACAAGAGUUGAGUAUCCUUAGCCCUGUGGAAAGACACACCCCUUCCUACUCCCCCCACAUGAAUUGCUACCUUAGCUGAAACUCAACUGUCCAUGCAGGCCCCGGAGACCUCUCUGAUGGUGGCCUUAAAACCCUCCUGUGAGGCCUGCGGUUUGCACCUGGAAUUGGCAAGGAGCUCAGACAUGUCCACUUUUCUGGGUAACUCAUAAAGAUUAAACAUUCAUAGCUCCUGAGGGUCCAGCUCCCUCAGGGGAGGGCCGAGGCUUCACUCGCCUUUAUUGCCUCAAACAACAUCCAGAGCACAGUGGAGGCCCCACUGUUACUUGAACGCAAUGGCUGAUUUGGGGGGAUGUCUCCUUUCAACCUAGAUGUAAACUUAGAUUUCUUCACGUGUUGUGUGAAAUCAAUACUUUAAUAUUAAAAAAAAAAAAUACCUGAUUCAAAGAUCAUUUGGUGGCAUCUCCAAAGUAUGGUGAAUACUUUAUCCCAUUCACUUACCCUAUUUUAGACAGAUGUAUCAUUUCCUACUCUUUAUUUUCAAGCUAAAGUUCUCUCUCCAUUUUUUAAGAGGUAACUGCGUCUUUGUCUUACGUGGUUUAUAUUAAAGUUUUGGUCUAUUGUUAGACUGAAGUGCAGAUGCUGGUGAAUGAGCUGCUUUCCCUGCUCUGAACUCCUGCCUCUUGCCACCUGGACGAGCAUCUCAACUCUUUACACCUGCUGCCUGUAAGGUUACUUCUGCACUCCUUCUGUGCCUGCAGUUUUCGCCAGUGACAUAAUCUUUUGAAGGUCUGAGGUCUGCCACAAAAUAGGCCCUCACAGUAUACUAGCAGUGAGAAUAAAGGAUGAUGGAUGUGACCACAAAUUUUCUGAAAGGUAUCUUAAAAUGGGCAAAUUCUUUCUAUAAAUGCAUUUCUCCUAAGAGGCUAAAGGAAAAAACAGAGUUUUACUAACCAACCGUGAUAGAAAUCCUGGAUUUAUUCAUAAUCAGCAGUUACAGUGUAAAGAAGAUUCUGAAUUUGGCUGGAAUAAUUCUGACUCUGCUAAUAGUUCUUCCAGAAUUAAAACGCUCAGUAUUUAGAAGAGACUCCAUGGUUUUCAUUUCUUAUUCCUUGGGCCUGACUUCUAGACCUCUCCCCAAAUGCUACUUCAGAGAUAACGUCAGCUGCUUCCCGCACAAACCCUGCAGCUGGCAGACGGCUCCACUGAGCUCUGUCGUUCUUGUGCUUUACUUCCUCUCAGGCUGCCCCUGGGUUCAAUGUCAGAAUCUGAACAGGGAGUUCAGGCCAGGCAUUUUGAGAAGCAGGACACUUCACGUCAGUGUCUGCAGUGCUGGAGCGCAGCAAAGUGACCUUGAAUGUCUCCCUCCUUGGCCGGCUCUCACCAAACUUUAUGGCUUAUUUAAUGGAAUUGUGACAAAGAGCAGGAAUUAAAACACAUGGGGACCACAGAGGCUGUUAUGUUUAUUGUGCAGAACAGACAGUGAUAAUCCACUAGAGAAAUAUUUUCAACAAGCAAGCGAUUCAAAGUACAAUCUUAGACAGCAAUUCUACAUGAAGAACAAAGAGUAAAGUUAGAAGACGCUCAGAGGAACAGGGGAGAGUCAACUGCAGGUAAACGUCUUGGUAUUUUUCUCCUGCAAACAUACCUAACUUGCAGAAAUGGUAGAAAAGUUAAAUGUCCAGUCUUACUUAGCUGUGACCAACAACAGCAAAGAACAGUCCUAUAAAAUUUAUCUCCCACAAAAAUAAACUAUAUAUAUAAAAAUUUUAUGAUGUUCUUACUGUUCCAUUGGCCACAAGCUUUUUUUUUUCAGUAUGAAAAAUGAGGUAUACUGGGACUGAAGAGGUAGUAAUGUGCUUUGAUUGUACAACGUACAGGAAAUACAAGUGUAACUUCGUCAGGGGUGGAAAUCACUCAGUCCUCAAAGUUUGGCCAACAUGAGCGACUGCUUCAACUCUAUGAGCUGGCCAGUGAGGUUUCUAAAAGGCCCAUCCAAAGGCAUGGAAUGUGACUUUCACUUUGACGAGCCACUGUUUAUUGCGUAUCUAAUGCACAGCUAACAGUGAUGUUGGGUUCUAAUUCUCUCCAUAGUUCCUUCGGUGCCUUCACAACAGUGAGCCCACCUGCCAGUCUCAGAGAGGUGCGUGGCCUUGGCAACCACCUCCCUGGAGCUGCUGGAAGAGAGAUGGCUCUGAGUCACACUGACAUGAGCCCUCGUGAGAAACUACCUCCUGGCCCAGUUGAUAACACCGUGUUAAAAAGACAGCACAGUCACUAGGAGAGAAAGGCAUUAAAAACUCUACAUAAGAAGCGUUUAAAAUAAAUCUGGUUGAGACACAGUACAAAAAUCACAUUUGUGUAAAAUACAUGAAAAUAUCUGUCAAGCAUUUUCUUAUAUUCAACUAAUCUUAAAAACACAUAUUUUUGAUUGCAUUAUGCAAAAGCUGAGCUUGUCACAUCUCACCUACAAAGCUUCAAGUUUCUUUGAAGGCUGGCUUUUAUUUUACUUAGCUAUUAUUUAGUUACUUAAUUUGCAAAAGUAUGUAGAAACGUGUUCCUUUCUAUCAAAUGUCUUUUACAAAAAUAGCUUUGAUUAGGGAUAGUUGCGGUUUCAAACACUGAAAUAAAUGAAUGCUGUAAUUAAUGAGUUCAUUCCUCUUGAAGUCUGGAGGUAGGUCUUUGCAAGUCAAUUAGUCCGUUGCCUUAGACAAUUCAUGUGAGGUACAGACUUGGAGGGUAACAUUUAAACAUUACAGUCAAAUUAAGUGGGAUGUGUAGUGUGACUAAGGAAAAGUAUCCUUAAGAACCUAGGAGCGACUUGGUUAAAAAAUAUUCAAGUUAAUGUAGAAAUCUAGCAGAGAAGCUGAAACAAGUAUUUGUAAAAUUUUAAUUAAAAAAAAAACAUAGAAAAAUACAUACCCAUGCUGAAACACAGUAAGGAGAUCAUUUCUUUCACUGUAAUUAAGUGUAUUAAAAGAGGUGCAGACGACCGCAGUCGCCUGCCCAGUGGGUGUUUUCUUGCAUUGCUUGUGUAUAGCAGCAGUAAGAGGUGCUAGACUGUGACUCACGGUAACAUUCAGAGGUAGCACCGCGUGGUGGGGAUAUUGCAUCUCUGGCUGAAAGUGCAGUGUGAAUGAAGAGACGGAUGGUGAACCGGACCUCGGUCGACCACCCUAUGUCAAAAUGUACUACUUGACGUAACACAUAAGCUUAAUUUGAGGUAAGUGGUAUUUAGGUUUUUCACGGAAACUGAUACACUUUGAAAAGAGAAAGAGAGAGACACAGACAGACUGCUUAUUUUGCUUUUUAAACUGCCAUAUAACUAUAGCAAAAGGAAUUUAGAUUUCGCUCCUCCCACCUCACAAUUCAGGUGAGUUCGUCCGCGUUAUUCUGUUGUACCUUUCUGUUAAAUUGCAAAGAGGGGAGUUUUCCUUGUCUAGUUUCUUUAAACGCUCUGAGGUUGACAAGUGUUAUUUAUUUACUGCCCAAUGGCAUUUGGCUCUGUAGGAAGUAGAUUUCCUGAAAAUUAAGUGUUGUUCUAAAAAAAAAAAAAAAGAUUGCUAUGAGUAACUUUAUUAUUCCCGCCGUAUGUGUGACGUCCAUAAACGUAGUUGGCGGCAAUAUUUGUUUGCUUCUUUCCCUUUUUGAAAAAUGAACAUAACCUUUCUGGUGUGUUAGCUGAAUGCAAAGAUACAUCAGCAUUUUGUCUCGUUUAGAAAUAAAAAGGCAAAAAUCAUCAAGUAAGUGUCUACAGGAUUAUAUGGGGAAAGAGAGAGUAGUAUCUAGUCCUUAUCUUUGGUACUCUAAACAGAGGGUUCACUACAGUGAGCGAGACGGGUGGCACUGGGGGCGGACGCGGGGUCCCACCGUGCCUUUCCUGUGUGAAUGCCCAGGUCACAAUGUGACAGGUUUCCUGUUCGCAUGCAGUGCAGUGGUUGACUAAGCCAGUCAGAGGUUUUCACCCACCCGCUCUUGCUCAUCAGAUCAACAAACUAUUAGUAGGUUAGGAAAAAAAGAAAACAGUAAUUAAAAGUUGCAUUGUUAAACUGCGUCCCCUGUGUUUACAGCAGUUCCUCACUAAACCUGGGACUGUGAAGGGAUUACAAAGGUGAUUAACAUAGU